rnacentral:rRNA from 1 species
UGUCCCUACGGGAGGCAGCAGUGGGGAAUAUUGGGCAAUGGGCGCAAGCCUGACCCAGCAACGCCGCGUGAAGGAAGAAGGCUUUCGGGUUGUAAACUUCUUUUCUCAGGGACGAAGAAAGUGACGGUACCUGAAUAAGAAGCCCCGGCUAAUUCCGUGCCAGCAGCCGCGGUAAUACGGAAGGUCCGGGCGUUAUCCGGAUUUAUUGGGUUUAAAGGGAGCGUAGGCCGGCUUUUAAGUCAGCUGUGAAAGUCCGCGGCUCAACCGUGGAAUUGCAGUUGAAACUGGAGGCCUUGAGUGCACAC